GAAGUGCGAUAAGUAGUGUGAAUUGCAGAUUCCGUGGAUCAUCGAAUUUUUGAACGCAAAUUGCACUCUCUGGUAUUCCGGAGAGUAUGCCUGUUUGAGGGUCAUCAAAUAAAAAAUCGAUUUGUUACUUUUGUAACAUGUCGGAAUUGGGUCAUCUUAAACCUUCAGGUUCAAGAGGCUUAAAAUUGAUCGUUUUUGGUAUGACUUAAGCGUAUUUAAGAUCUCUUAUCACGCGCUUAAUGAGUAUCGGAUGUUUAUUAGGCAUAACCAUGAUCAUGGUUUCACGCCUAUAAUUUUCAUGAAAUGACCUCAAAUCAGGUAGGAAUACCCGCUGAACUUAA
rnacentral:misc_RNA from 1 species